rnacentral:tRNA from 1 species
GGAGAGGUGGCUGAGUGGUUGAAAGCGGCUUCCUGCUAAGAAGUUAUAGGCUAACGCCUAUCGAGGGUUCGAAUCCCUCCCUCUCCG